GUGAAUAUUUCUGUAAUGGGUUCACUAUAAGAAGAAUAAAAAACAAACAUAAAUGAAAAACAAAAUUCUUGAAGGUCAAUUUGCAAUUUCAAAUUGAGAAUUUGGCUCAACAUGUAAAUCUACCCAAACCCAACAAUAAGAUUUCAGAGUCUGAAUUGGGUUUGCCUCUUUAGACCCAAGGGAUUAUUAGCCUAUGCCAUUUUAAUAAUUAGAACACAAGAUAUGAGGAAUAAACAAGCCAAAUGAAUCAGGAUAAAGUUGAAAGUUUUAUAUAUAUAUAUA
rnacentral:misc_RNA from 1 species